rnacentral:rRNA from 1 species
AUUGAACGCUGGCGGCAGGCCUAACACAUGCAAGUCGAACGAGUGGCGGACGGGUGAGUAAUGUCUGGGAAACUGCCCGAUGGAGGGGGAUAACUACUGGAAACGGUAGCUAAUACCGCAUACCAUCGGAUGUGCCCAGAUGGGAUUAGCUUGUCGGUGAGGUAACGGCUCACCUAGGCGACGAUCCCUAGAUGGUCUGAGAGGAGGACCAGCCAAACUGGAAAUGAGACACGGUCCAGACUCCUACGGGAGGCAGCAGUGGGGAAUAUGGCACAAGUGGCGCAAGCCUGAGACAGCCAUGCCGCGUGUAGGAAGAAGGCCUUCGGGUGUUAAAGUACUUUCAGCGGGGAGGCGUUACCCGCAGAAGAAGCACAGGCUAACUCCGUGCCAGCAGCCGCGGUAAUAC